CUACGGGGGGCUGCAGUGAGGAAUAUUGCACAAUGGGGGGAACCCUGAUGCAGCAACGCCGCGUGGAGGAUGACGCAUUUCGGUGUGUAAACUCCUUUUAUAUGUCAAGAAAAUGACGGUAGCAUAUGAAUAAGCACCGGCUAACUCCGUGCCAGCAGACCGCGGUAAUACGGAGGGUGCAAGCGUUACUCGGAAUCACUGGGCGUAAAGGACGCGUAGGCGGGUUGGAAAGUCAGGUGUGAAAUCCUACAGCUUAACAGUAGAACUGCACUUGAAACUUCUAAUCUAGAGUAUGGGAGGGGGAGAUGGAAUUAGUGGUGUAGGGGUAAAAUCCGUAGAUAUCACUAGGAAUACCUAAAGCGAAGGCGAUCUCCUGGAACAUUACUGACGCUAAGGCGUGAAAGCGUGGGGAGCAAACAGGAUUAGAUACCCCUGUAGUC
rnacentral:rRNA from 1 species